GCCUGGGCGGGUCCCGGACGCCUUGGGCGGGCCGGGUAAGGUCCAGCCGUAUCCGCCUCCUUCAUGUCCCGCUGUGGGAGGGGCUCUGGAGCGCCGGGACUGUGAGAUGGCCAAUGACGGUCUGACCCGUUGGGCCGGGCCAGGUCGCGGACAACGUCGACCGUUUGUUUAAGAAGCGUGGACUCUUGUCCUGAGUGCACCGAGGCUUUCAGCCUGCGGGACAGUGGUGCGAUUUGCAUUAGAGGUAAUAUGCUAGGGCGGCUGCUGCAGGGUGGGAGAGGAAAUGCGCGUGGAGACUGGGCGCGUGCAAUGGUGGGAGAGGUGUGUGGCAGGGGUGCGGGGAGUGGGGGUGAAGAGAAGAGGACCCAUCGUAGAGUGUUUAGGAGAUGGAAGGUGAAGGUCUCUGCCCCCGAUUGUGGAUGUUCAGAAGGAGAAAGCAUCAUGACUCCCAGCCUUGGCCACCUGGCAGCUUACCUGAGAUGGAGAAGAGAUAGGGUGAGUUCAGUAAGCUGGGCCUGGACUCCUGAUGCAUGGAAACUGAGAUGAUAAGUCUGCAUUCUUUUAAGCCUACUAAAUUUGUUAUGCAGUAAUAGAAAAUGAAUACAAUAUAUAAGUGUCAGUGACUGAAGAUGCAGAAUGAAUACAACACCAUUCUUGCUCCAAAGACACAAUCUGGUGGAGGAGACAAAUGUUUAAAAGACACAAUUUAGAGUGAAAAGAGUUAUGAAAAUUUGAAUCAGGGUGUGCUCCUCGUUAACCAUGGCAGAUUGAACACACUGCUGCCCAAACCCUGCAGAAUGCCCGUAGAAGGAUCCAAGGACAUCAGCCCAUAAAGGUGAAGAUAAUGUGAAGGGGAGAGGGGGCAGGGGGCGUUGGGGGGUGGGGGGAACAGUGCUGUUCUUCCCUCUGGGCUCAUUGGCUGGAUGGUGUAAACCUGGCAUUUUCUGUGGCUGUGAUUUCCUUCUCCAUUGACUACAUGGAGGAAGCCUGUUGCCAGUAGGAGAAAAUGAGGUCAACAAACAUAGAAAUAGAGCAGAGAGGUGAAAAGAGAUUCCUGAGGGUGCUUUAAUGCCCUGGCUCCAGUUGGGCCUGAGGCUAGCUUGAGUCCCAUCCUUCCCAGUUAAGCAAACCAGCAAAUCUUAGGGAUAAAUCAUGGAUUACUUCCAAUCUAAGUGUCCUGACUCAUUAAUACAGAUAUACUGCCCAGUUAGCAGAGUAAAAUAAGUUCUCAAUAAAUGUUAGUUCCUCUUGUCAUUACUAAACUGAUUAUUCAUACAAACUAAGCAUUGUGAUAUCUUUAAGGGUGGCCAUCUGAUUUGUGGUGCUUAUUAGAGAAGAUGACUUUUGUCUGUUGAAAGACAGCAUUGCAAUACAAACAGUUCACUCGUAUCAUUCCGAUAUCUCAGCUGAGGCUUCAGCAGGCAGGAUGAGAUAUCUCUGGCUUGCUUAUGAUUUGCGGUCAACCCAAAAGGAGGCAAAGCACUGAGUUCCAUUGAAAUGAUGGCCUGAUGUGCUUCUGGAUGCAAAGAGCCCCACGGAAACAAUCUGCUCAUGUGUGGUAGUGUUACAGUAGGUAGCCAGUUAGACAUGAGCAGACAGUGGGGGCUCCUGCCAACGAAAUGUUGUGGGACAAUCAAAGAUGGGAGACACUGAACAGAGUGAGUUCAGGAAAGGUCUUUAUUAAAAGGUGAUCACCUGGCUCAGUAGGACUAGCGUCCAGGAAAGUCUGAGCCCUGGAUAAAGAAAGCAGCCACCUUUUAAGCAGUCGGUGGCCGGGAGUACGCGAGGCAGGAAGCGUACUUACAGAAGCGAGAGCAAAGGCAGUUGUUCAGUCUUUUACAUUUAUCUAUACUACAUGUUCCACAUCCCUGGGAAACCAUGUUUCUGCAUCAACCUUGUAACUUUGCAGCUGCGCUAGGGUGGUGAAGCAGGAACUCGCUGAGCCUCAAGGAAUGUG
rnacentral:lncRNA from 1 species